GAUGAAGAACGCAGCGAAAUGCGAUAAGUAAUGUGAAUUGCAGAAUUCAGUGAAUCAUCGAAUCUUUGAACGCACAUUGCGCCCGCUAGUAUUCUGGCGGGCAUGCCUGUCCGAGCGUCAUUUCAACCCUCAAGCCCCCGGGCUUGGUGUUGGGGAUCGGCGAGCCUCCGCGCCCGCCGUCCCCUAAAUCUAGUGGCGGUCCCGCUGCAGCCUCCUCUGCGUAGUAGUUUUCUCCUCGCAAGGGCAGCUCGGUGGCGACCUCGCCGUAAAACCCCCAACUUCUGAAAGGUUGACCUCGAAUCAGGUAGGAAUACCCGCUGAACUUAAGCAUAUCAAUAAGCGGAGGA
rnacentral:misc_RNA from 1 species